AGAUAUCUAAAGACUUGAAUCAGUGGUACCUGCUGACGAAUGAGACCCUUCUGAAGUCUAACCUGGCUGCCUUCUGGAACACCUCAGAGAAGUUCGUCAAUAUCUCUAAUGCAUCUUUAACCAUCAGUAAAAAUCUGAAGCAGCUUGAGAAACUCCUGGAAACCUUCCCCCUACCCACGCCCACAUCCGAGGGAGAAGAGUACAUCCCAGCAGGAGAUUUUAAUGAGUUCUCAGGGAAGUUGAGUAUCUUCCUGAAAACCCUGGAUGGUGUCCUGGAGCGCUCACUGAACUGUUCACGAACUCUCAAAACCUCACAGAGAGACGCUUAGUCCAGGCCUGUGCAUGCCCAAGGCUCAGAGCGGGGCUUAGGUCCUGGGUCUUCAACACUCCUGAUAUCCCAGUUGAUGCUCCACUCUGUCACACAUCUCAGCUGUUGAACGUCUGGCUUCUGAGCUGGCCUGCUCGAGCUUGGUCACAGGGUUCCUGAUGAUUGCGUCUAUUUGUAUAGCAGUUUAUUUAUUUAUUAUCCACCCUAUUGUGGAGUUAUUUAUUUUAAUAAUGGAGCCCUCUCAGGAGACUUUGAGCAGAGCUCAGAGGGGAUGUGAAGCCGUUUUCAUUUGUAUCUCAAAUUUCAAAAGGAUUUCUCCUCCUCGGGGAAAAAUAAAUGCUUUAU